GGGUCAGUAGGUUGGUCGUGCCACCGGUACGUACUGGUCUCACUAAUUCCUCCUUCCUGAAGAACCGUAAUGCCAUUAAUUUGGUGUUGCGGGGAAACAGGACUGUUACUUUGAAAAAAUUAGAGUGUUUAAAGCAAGCUGACGCUUGAAUACAUUAGCAUGGAAUAAUGAAAUAGGACGAUCGAUCCUAUUUUGUUGGUUUCUAGGAUUGACGUA
rnacentral:rRNA from 1 species